rnacentral:rRNA from 1 species
GUCCACGCCGUAAACGAUGGGCACUAGAUCCCUGGGGGAGCGACCCCGUAGGGGUCGGCGCUAACGCAUUAAGUGCCCCGCCUGGGGAGUACGGCCGCAAGGCUGAAACUCAAAGGAAUUGACGGGGGCCCGCACAAGCGGUGGAGCAUGUGGUUUAAUUCGACGCAACGCGAAGAACCUUACCUGGGCUUUACAUGCACGUGGACUUCAGGGGAAACCCUGGGUGCUCUUCGGAGCGCGUGCACAGGUGCUGCAUGGCUGUCGU